GGAGAGAUGCUCGAGUGGUUGAAGAGGCAUGACUGGAAAUCGUGUGUGCGUUAACACGCAUCGAGGGUUCGAAUCCCUCUCUCUCCA
rnacentral:tRNA from 1 species